GAUGAACGCUAGCGAUAGGCUUAACACAUGCAAGUCGAGGGGCAGCAUGGUCUUAGCUUGCUAAGACUGAUGGCGACCGGCGCACGGGUGCGUAACGCGUAUGCAACUUGCCUCACAGAGGGGGAUAACCCGUCGAAAGACGGACUAAUACCGCGUACACUCCAUCUUGGGCAUCCAAGGUAGAGGAAAUGAAAUUCGCUGUGAGAUAGGCAUGCGUCCCAUUAGCUAGUUGGUGAGGUAACGGCUCACCAAGGCGACGAUGGGUAGGGGAACUGAGAGGUUGAACCCCCACACUGGUACUGAGACACGGACCAGACUACUACGGGAGGCAGCAGUGAGGAAUAUUGGUCAAUGGGCGAGAGCCUGAACCAGCCAAGUCGCGUGAAGGAUGACUGUCUUAUGGAUUGUAAACUUCUUUUAGACGGGAAUAACAAGAGUCACGUGUGACUCCCUGCAUGUACCGUAUGAAUAAGCAUCGGCUAACUCCGUA
rnacentral:rRNA from 1 species